rnacentral:lncRNA from 1 species
GGUGAUGGUGCUAGUGUGGCGAGAUGAAGCUCUUUUGGAUGGCAUGGUUGUAUUGCUCUUGAUCUGUGCUCCUCCGAAUAGGGACAGCCCUUCCUCUAGCGCUAAUCUGUUGGUGCAAGAUUCUAUAUGGCAUCGAAAUGCUAGAAUGGAUGGCAAAAGGGGUCUCUCGGGGGUAUGACCUGCAUAAAAGUGCUAAUCAGAGGUUGCUCCGGUGGGGACCCUCCGACUGUUAGGUUAGAAUUCUUGUUCAAUAGAUGGAGCAUGAGAGGUAGAAUAAUGAUGUACCUUUUUUAGGAUCUCCUUUGGACCUCCUUUUAUGGAUGAAGGUGGGAGCUUUCAUUGGUAAGUCGAUUAGCAUGAUCCCAUCUGAUUGGGAUGCAAUUUGUGUGUAGUAACGAAACUAUUGUUCGAAACUCUCAGGAUAUGGUGGUUAUGAUUGCCUUAUCCAUUUUGUGACAAUCAUUAUCUAGCAGGUAAUGAAUUUUGAGCUGGUGUGCUAAAUUGAUAUCAACGAGCUGAAGAUUGGUCGGUCAUGAGUAGAAGUCAGAUGCUCUUUGCCGUCCUCAGAUGCGAAAGUCAGGAGCUGGGGGCUCAUUCAACAGUGGAAGGCUGAUCGAUCGAAAGUGAUCAAUGGAAGACCAUCAUCUGGUCAGAGCUAAUCAUUCGAGUGAAUUGAUGACUCAUUGGCCCAGCCUAUAGGGAUCGGCCAUUAAGAAAAUGUCGGUAGUCUUGGAUAAGAAUUAUCAAGCACCAGUCGGUGGAUCUUCAUCUGC